rnacentral:rRNA from 1 species
GACGAACGCUGGCGGCGUGCUUAACACAUGCAAGUCGAACGGAAAGGCCCUGCUUUUGUGGGGUGCUCGAGUGGCGAACGGGUGAGUAACACGUGAGUAACCUGCCCUUGACUUUGGGAUAACUUCAGGAAACUGGGGCUAAUACCGGAUAGGAGCUCCUGCUGCAUGGUGGGGGUUGGAAAGUUUCGGCGGUUGGGGAUGGACUCGCGGCUUAUCAGCUUGUUGGUGGGGUAGUGGCUUACCAAGGCUUUGACGGGUAGCCGGCCUGAGAGGGUGACCGGCCACAUUGGGACUGAGAUACGGCCCAGACUCCUACGGGAGGCAGCAGUGGGGAAUAUUGCACAAUGGGCGGAAGCCUGAUGCAGCAACGCCGCGUGCGGGAUGACGGUCUUCGGGUUGUAAACCGCCUUCGCCUGUGACGAAGCGUGAGUGACGGUAAUGGGUAAAGAAGCACCGGCUAACUACGUG